rnacentral:rRNA from 1 species
GACGAACGCUGGCGGCGUGCUUAACACAUGCAAGUCGAACGGAAAGGCCCUGCUUUUGUGGGGUGCUCGAGUGGCGAACGGGUGAGUAACACGUGUGUAACCUUCCCUUGACUUUGGGAUAACUUCAGGAAACUGGGGCUAAUACCGGAUAGGAUCUCCUGCUGCAUGGUGGUGGUUGGAAAGUUUCGGCGGUUGGGGAUGGACUCGCGGCUUAUCAGCUUGUUGGUUGGGUAGUGGCUUACCAAGGGUUUGACGGGUAGCCGGCCUGAGAGGGUGACCGGCGACAUUGGGACUGAGAUACGGCCCAGAAGGCUACGGGAGGCAGCAGUGGGGAAUAUUGCACAAUGGGCGGAAGCCUGAUGAAGAAACGCGGCGUGCGGGAUGACGGCCUGCGGGUUGUAAAACGCUUGCGCAUGUGACGAAGCGUGAGUGACGGUAAUGGGUAAAGAAGCACCGGCUAACUACGUG